GUGUUCACUUCAAUUAUACAUAUCCUAAAAUGGUCGAUACAGAUUAUUAUUAGCACGGCCUCUGCGCUAGGAUGACAAGCAAAUUUGUAAAGUAUUCCAGAAUGAA
rnacentral:snRNA from 1 species